rnacentral:misc_RNA from 1 species
GCGUGUCAGCCUCAUAGACUCUUAUUACUUUGACCAUAUUUUUAUCUUCCAUCUCUAUUUUGCCAAUUUGUUUAUGCAACAUAAAAUAAUAUAUAUCUUUUGUUCAAUCCAUGUCAAUAUCUAUUUUAUUUUUUACAUUAUUUGAAUAAAACAUUCAAAAACAUGAACAUUAUAAAAAUAUAAAAAAUAAAUUUAGGAUUUAAAGUACAAAAUAAAAACCCUGGCAAUAACUUACUCUCCCGCGAACUCGCAGUACCAUCAGCGAAUAAGAGCUUAAAUGGUACUGCCAGUGCGCGUCAAAGAACGUUAGCCGCCAGGGCUUUUAUGUUGCACUUUAAAUCCUAAAUUUAUUUUUUAUAUUUUUAUAAUGUUCAUGUUUUUGAAUGUUUUAUUCAAAUAAUGUUAAAAAUAAAAUAGAUAUUGACAUGGAUUGAACAAAAGAUUUUUUUUAUUUUACGUUGCAUAAACAAAUUGGCAUGGGGGGGAUGGAAAAUAAAAAUCUGGUCCGCGUACUCAGAGUCUAUGGCGAACGCCCCCGAACUUUAACGCGAACAA